UGCAAGUCGAGGGGUAUAGCACUUCGGUGCUAGAGACCGGCGCACGGGUGCGUAACGCGUAUGCAAUCUACCUUUCACAGAGGGAUAGCCCAGAGAAAUUUGGAUUAAUACCUCAUAGCAUAACGACCUGGCAUCAGGAUGUUAUUAAAGUCACAACGGUGAAAGAUGAGCAUGCGUCCCAUUAGCUAGUUGGUAAGGUAACGGCUUACCAAGGCUACGAUGGGUAGGGGUCCUGAGAGGGAGAUCCCCCACACUGGUACUGAGACACGGACCAGACUCCUACGGGAGGCAGCAGUGAGGAAUAUUGGACAAUGGGCGCAAGCCUGAUCCAGCCAUGCCGCGUGCAGGAUGACGGUCCUAUGGAUUGUAAACUGCUUUUAUACGAGAAGAAACAACAUUACGUGUAAUGUCUUGACGGUAUCGUAAGAAUAAGGAUCGGCUAACUCCGUGCCAGCAGCCGCGGUAAUACGGAGGAUCCAAGCGUUAUCCGGAAUCAUUGGGUUUAAAGGGUCCGUAGGCGGUUUGGUAAGUCAGUGGUGAAAGCCCAUCGCUCAACGGUGGAACGGCCAUUGAUACUGCCAGACUUGAAUUAUUAGGAAGUAACUAGAAUAUGUAGUGUAGCGGUGAAAUGCUUAGAGAUUACAUGGAAUACCAAUUGCGAAGGCAGGUUACUACUAAUGGAUUGACGCUGAUGGACGAAAGCGUGGGUAGCGAACAGGAUUAGAUACCCUGGUAGUCCACGCCGUAAACGAUGGAUACUAGCUGUUGGGCGCAAGUUCAGUGGCUAAGCGAAAGUGAUAAGUAUCCCACCUGGGGAGUACGUUCGCAAGAAUGAAACUCAAAGGAAUUGACGGGGGCCCGCACAAGCGGUGGAGCAUGUGGUUUAAUUCGAUGAUACGCGAGGAACCUUACCAAGGCUUAAAUGUAGAUUGACCGGUUUGGAAACAGACUUUUCGCAAGACAAUUUACAAGGUGCUGCAUGGUUGUCGUCAGCUC
rnacentral:rRNA from 1 species